UUCUAAAAUGGCAGAAUAGUGCAUUGAAUUUAAACUUCAAAUAUAAAGAAUCCUCUUUUUUUAGAA
rnacentral:tRNA from 1 species